UACGUAGGGGGCAAGCGUUGUCCGGAUUUAUUGGGCGUAAAGAGCGUGUAGGCGGUUUGGUAGGUCCGUUGUGAAAACUCGAGGCUCAACCUCGAGACGCCGAUGGAAACCAUCAGACUAGAGUCCGGAAGAGGAGAGUGGAAUUCCUGGUGUAGCGGUGAAAUGCGCAGAUAUCAGGAGGAACACCAAUUGCGAAGGCAGCUCGCUGGGACGUAACUGACGCUGAGACGCGAAAGCGUGGGGAGCAAACAGG
rnacentral:rRNA from 1 species